AGUCGAGCCUUAAGGCAGCGCCGCAGCGCCAUUACCAAGUCAAAAAUGAGGCGCCGGUUCCGGUUCCGAUUUCGGUUCCCAGGUAAAAAGUAAAGGAAAAUGGCCUGACAUAAUAAAAAUUAUCCCUUAUAUAACUUAACCUCCAUCCUAACAUUAGAGACCACUUUUUGGAAGCCAAUAGCAAAGCUUUGAAUACUAAGGAAGGAGAAUAUCUGUGACACCCCCAAAUCCGGGUUACCUGAUCCCCGAGUUUGGUGCUCACGAUCCAUAAUAUAAUUAACAUCUAACUC
rnacentral:lncRNA from 1 species